NNNNNNNNNNNNACAUUGAGAGGGAGGACAAUGAGAUAAGGACUGAUACAGCCAGGGGGAAGAGAUUGGACAUAAAGAGGAGUGGGGGGAUGGAUACCAGACUAAUAGGUCAUACCAGCAGUACGGUGUCCACAUCAAAUGGGAGAAUGAAUGUGAGAGAGGCCAAAAGGUAUAAAUUAUGAUGUUUAUACACCAAUGCGAGAAGCCUAGGUAACAAAAUGGAGGAAUUGGAGCUCCUGAUCCGAGAAAUGAAACCGGAUAUCAUAGGAAUAACUGAAACAUGGUGGAACGGUAGUCAUGACUGGAGUACAGGUAUGGAAGGGUAUGUGCUGUUUAGGAAAGACCGGAUCAAAGGUAAAGGUGGGGGAGUAGCAUUGUAUGUCAAUAAUGAGGUAAACUGUAAAGAAUUAAUAAGUGAUGGAAUGGAUAAGACGGAGUCUGUCUGGGAAAUACUCACAUUGGGUAAAAGAACUACUAGAGCCUCCCCUGGGAUAGUGCUUGGGGUGUGCUAUAGACCGCCGGGAUCUAGCCUGGAUAUGGACAGAGAACUCUUUAACAUUUUUAGGGAAGUAAAUACUAAUAGAAACUGUGUAAUCAUGGGAGACUUUAACAUCCCGGAUAUAGAUUGGGGAACAAAUGCUAGUAACAAUAAUAGGGCUCAGAUUUUCCUAGAUGUGAUAGCUGAUGAAUUCCUUCAUCAAGUAGUUGCUGAACUGACGAGGGGGGAUGCCAUUUUAGAUUUGGUGCUGGUGAGUAGUGAGGACCUAGUUGAGGAAAUGGUUAUAGGGGACAACCUUGGCUCGAGUGAUCAUGAGCUAAUUCAGUUUAAACUAAAUGGAAAGAUUAACAGAAUUAAAUCAGAGACUAAGGUUUACGAUUUCAAAAGAGCUAAUUUUAAUAAAUUAAGGGGACUGAUUAGGGAAGUGGAUUGGACUAACAUAUUUAGGGAUCUAAAGGCGGAAGGCGCCUGGGAUUAUUUCAAGUUGAAGUUGCAGGAGCUGUCGGAGGCCUGUAUCCCGAGAAAGGGAAAACGGUUCGUAGGCAGGAGAUUUAGACCUAGCUGGAUGAACAAGCAUCUCAGAGGGGUCAUUAAGAAAAAACAGAAAGCGUACAGGGAGUGGAAGAGGGGAGGGAUCAGCAAAGAACCUACCUUAUUGAGGUCAGAGCAUGUAGGGAUGGAGUGAGAAAAGCCAAAAGCUGAGUAG
rnacentral:lncRNA from 1 species